AGAGAAGAAAAUUGCUUUCAUAUAUGUAUAUUUAAGUUAAAAGAAUGCUGUAUCUAUAACUUUCUAUUUUGACUACACUUUUAAAUAAAAUAUUUUCAGCUUCUUCCCCUUUUCAAGCCCCUAAAGAGAAAAAGCUAAAUAGUAAAAAACAAAAAGAACUCAAAGAAACAAAAGUAUACAACAAAUUAAAAACACUUUUUCAGAAAAAUUAAUUAAUUAAAAAUGGACCCUGAAUCUAACAUCCUUCAAUAUUGAUGAUUUUUUUGGUAGCAAAUAAAAUUGAAGAUUCUUAAAAAAAAAUCAUUUUCUGGAUCCUCCAUAUAUGAGAAGAGCAAUCAAAAAUACAUUUCUUAUAAUAUAAUAUAGUAAUUUACCAAAAUACCCCCGGUUUUCUCUAUUUUCUUUCAUACAUAGAUAGAAAAUGAUGAGAAAAACAAGGUUAUUUUGGGGAAAUUUCAAUAAAAAUAAUACAAGGAAAAAAACAAAGGUCGAAGACAAAAUAUAUAUAAAUGAAAAAAAAAUACAAAAAAUUUGAUAAGAAUUUACUUAAUGAUUAAUUGUGAAGAGGAUCUGGGCAACUUGGUACUCUUCUUUUGAUAUCAUCAAACUCCAUUUUGGGUUUGUUCUUGUCAAAAAAAGUGCUUCCUUUGAAGAACUUAUUGAACAGAUCUUUGUUCUUGUUGCUGUUGUUGACCUUGUUGUUAUGUAAAACUUCUCUGCUGAAUUCCACUUUUGCCACAGUUUUUCCUGGGAAUAUACGAAGAGCUCCAACAUGACAUGAGUGACAACACACCAACGUUGUUACCAAAAACAUUACCAUGGAGAAAUACAAGAAAUUUUGGUCCCUUUUCCUCUCAUAUAUUCCAAACCACAUGGCCACACAAUAAUAGAACGCAUAAAUUUUGUGACUUUUGGUAAACCAAUUUCUAUAUUGAAGAAAUAAAACUAAGGAAAUUUUUUGAGAGUUUGGGUUUGUGUAUGAAAUGAGAUGAUGAUGAUGAUGAGAGUGAAAAAAACAAAAAGAAAUGAGUCAAUUGACGGCUAAGUGUUUUAUGAAAGAUAGAGAGAUGGAGCCUCAUGUUAUGACCAUCCCAUACACACACUGGCCCACGUGAAAUGAAAUCUUGCACUGUCCUAUUACUAGCUACUACCAAAUUAUAUUAUUGGGUUUCUAACAUAAUUGCAUCACUUAGCCACAUGAUGUUCCCUAUUCAUUAGCCACACGCUCUUCAAAUGUAUCAAAA
rnacentral:lncRNA from 1 species